rnacentral:pre_miRNA from 1 species
UGAGAGAGAGGUAGUGUGUUGUAUUGUGUGUGUGUGAGACACACACACAAUUCAACACACUACCUCUCUCUCA